rnacentral:rRNA from 1 species
AAUAUUGGACAAUGGGUGCAACCCUGAUCCAGCCAUGCUGCGUGUGUGAAGAAGGUCCUCGGAUUGUAAAGCACUUUAAGUUGGGAGGAAGGGCUUUAGGUUAAUACCCUGAAGUUUUUACUUUACCAAUAGAUUUCGUACUGGCUAACUCUGUGCCAGCAGCCGCGGUAAUAUAGAGGGUGCAAGCGUUAAUCGGAAUUACUGGGCGUAAAGCGCGCGUAGGUGGUUCAGUAAGAUGGGUGUGAAAUCCCCGGGCUUAACCUGGGAACUGCUUUCAUAACUGCUGAGCUAGAGUACGGUAGAGGGUAGUGGAAUUUCCUGUGUAGCGGUGAAAUGCGUAGAUAUAGGAAGGAACACCAGUGGCGAAGGCGACUACCUGGACUGAUACUGACACUGAGGUGCGAAAGCGUGGGGAGCAAAC